rnacentral:rRNA from 1 species
UACGGGGGGGCAAGCGUUGUUCGGAAUUACUGGGCGUAAAGGGCUCGUAGGUGGCCAACUAAGUCAGACGUGAAAUCCCUCGGCUUAACCGGGGAGCUGCGUCUGAUACUGGAUGGCUUGAGUUUGGGAGAGGGAUGCGGAAUUCCAGGUGUAGCGGUGAAAUGCGUAGAUAUCUGGAGGAACACCGGUGGCGAAGGCGGCAUCCUGGGACCAACACUGACACUGAGGAGCGAAAGCCAGGGGAGCAAAGCGGG